UUUUAAAGUGAUGUUUUGUCGGAAUUUCUCCUAAGCAAAUGAAAGUUAACGGAAAAGCCCGUCGCCAGCUCAAACUCUGGCUAUGGCCGCUAGGUGUCCUAGACAGCUAUAAAGAAAAGCAGAAGACAUAAAUGGUCCAAUUUUGGCUAGAAAGUCUGACAAGCAUCAUCGAAAACAAGCAUGGGUACGUUGAAAUUUUAACUUUUUUGAAGGCAAUGGAAGUGUCAGGAAGUGUGUAGGAAUUGCAAACAAUUGCAAUGUAUUAUUUAAUGUGUAUCGUUUUCAGAAUAAUCCAGCAAAUCCAGGGUUAAUACCACACUGCAAUCAAAAUCAGGAUGAAAAUUGCUUCUUAAAGUGGGUUGGAUCUUGUUGCGAAGCUUGGCACAAUACUAGUCACUAUGCUCGGUGACUUCAUUUUAUUGGGUCAGGUCUGGUAUAUUCUGGCCAUCAUUUUCCAAAGUUGUUUUAUUAAUAGUCAAGUCAAUAGUCUGCAUAAACAAUUUCUCUUUCAAAUUGACCAACAUGCCCUCAAACAUGCAGCAGUGUCCUGAUAUCUGGUCAUCAAGAUGUUCUGAAAUAGACAAUUUUCAGGAUACUUCUGCGAGGACGGGGCACGAAAUUCUCGAGCACACCGUUGGAAACAAUCAUCGGGAGUGCGAAAUAGGUUCGCUUCUACAGUAGGAGGGUAAGCGGACGGAGAGGAAAUACACAAGAUAAAAAUGAAAACUACAAUAAAUGCCUCAGGGACAUUAAGUGUCAGUUUCAGUUGCCUUGUCAAG